UGUUGGCUGUUAGCCACGGGGCCAAUCUCGGCCUCUGCCACAGACAGUUCGCUGGUCAUUAAUAUGAUUUUCUGAAUGGCAAAAAGAGCUUUAUAGAAGGAGUGAACAAAUUUGAACAAAAGGCGACAGCUGGCUAUUGUAAUAGCUACGAAUUAUAAUAUCUUUGUGAUUCAUUGCAGCUCCAAGUUUUUAAUUGAAAAUUGAAACAGAUUUGUGUACCCAACAGCAGGUGCACAGUCACAGAUAUGCAUAUAUUAUAUUUCAACGACUUAGUUGCUGGAAAACAUUUCUCCUAUGGAAAUGACUCGCAAUCUGUUUGCUGUCAUAAUAAUAGCUUAUAUAAACAUUAAACAAACCAGCGAAAUAAGCUUCAAGCUAUUUCCCAAUUAAAACAUUUGUGUACGCGAAUCAUUCGUAAUCUCUUCAUUGAUUUCUAGAUGACCUAAGGCUUGACUAAAUAUUUAAUCAAGCAAUUAAAUAUGCUUUAAUUAAACAAAUUUAUAAAUGGGCUUUUAAAUAAUCGCCCAAAACCAAUACAAAAGUUGUAAAAUUCCUAUCGGAAUUGAAGGCACAAAGUGCAGUUGAUUGAAAUCCAAGACGCAAUUAUUGCAAAAGGGGGACAGAUAGAUCAGAGAUCCGUUCUAGCGGUCAUACUGAUAUAUACAUACAUAUAUGUAUGUACAUGUAUAUAACAGCUGAUUGUAAUGAAAUGGCGACGCAACAAAGAAAGCGGGACAAAGCAAAACAACAACAAACGGUAUAAUUGCAAAUUUGAUAAGCCUAAAAAAGCGCCAACACCAUAAAGAUCCUUUUAUUUAUGCAUACGAUUUUCUUUUGCUGACUAAUCAAAGUUAAUGUGUGGACGGAGAGACAAACAACAAGUAAAUCAGUAUGGCGUACGCAAGCAUGCAUGCGUAUGUGUCUGUGUGUCUGUGUGUGUGUGUGUGUGUGUGUGUGUAUGUGUCUAGUAUGGCUUUGUUUGUUUGUGUUCAUGUCUGCUUGUGUAUGUAUUUGUGUUUCUGUGUGUCGGCAUUGUUAAAAACAGCAAGCGAGCAAAUAUAACGCAAUUCGGUAAAUU